rnacentral:rRNA from 1 species
CGUGGGUAACCUGCCCAAGAGAUCGGGAUAACACCUGGAAACAGAUGCUAAUACCGGAUAACAACAGAUGAUGCCUAUCAACUGUUUAAAAGAUGGUUCUGCUAUCACUCUUGGAUGGACCUGCGGUGCAUUAGCUAGUUGGUAGGGUAACGGCCUACCAAGGCGAUGAUGCAUAGCCGAGUUGAGAGACUUAUCGGCCACAUUGGGACUGAGACACGGCCCAAACUCCUACGGGAGGCAGCAGGC